ACCUUGUUGAUUGCAGCAGGGUCCGUGUUUGCUGGCUUGCCACCUUCUGACUUCAUGAGAGUUCAUACCAAGGGACAGUUCCCAGAGCUCAGAAAUCCACCCCCAGUUAAAAAGCAUUUGUUUAUAAAUCUGCCUGUUGGCAUCAAACCUUUUCUCUUUGAUCCUUCAUGCUUAUCAGAGAUUAAUUCUUUAUCCUUUGUUUUAUUCCUAUGUGUCCAGGAGGAACGUACUGAAUAUCAAGAAUAUUUCAGAGGACCCUGGAGCAGAGAUGGUACCUGCACAGUGCACCUUGAUGAUAUCAGCAUCCACUGCCAAUACAGCGUGAAGGCAAUCAUGGGGAAGGUUUCUCAGUCAAGAAAAGUUUGUCAACAAGGAAGGAUUCUCUCACGGAGGAGUUUCUUCACAGGAGUGGGCAGAAGUGGAAAAAAACAGUGAAUUUGUGGAAGACUCACACUGCCCACCAUGGGCCUUGCCCGAGGACACAGCAUGCUACAACAGGACUGUCUAAUUCUAAAGUCCAUACUCUUUCUGUGGUUGUCUACCCUGGUUGCUCCGUAGAACCACCUAGGAACUUGUCAGCAAUACCAAUGCCUGGGCUACGCUCAUCAGUUUAAUUGGAUUAUUUAGAGGUGGAGUGUUUUCUAAGGAUCCCCAGCUGAUUUUAAAGCAGAGCUACCACCUCCAUGCAGUGUAGAAGACACCUCCUAACACUGUCCUCACCAAUCCUUCCAGCCUCAGUUGCAAGGCUGCCCUCUGGACCCCAGGGAGUCCUGACACAAAGCCACAGUCAAAAGUAACUGCCCUUCCCUUGGAUCCCUCUAGCAUUCAUAGAUCCCUUUAUCUGGUGCUGAUCUGCCCUGCUACAUGAUGCUUAUGCCUUACUGUUGUAUCCAAGUGCAGAAUAAAUAUUUACAUAUGCCCUUUGCUCA
rnacentral:lncRNA from 13 species